rnacentral:miRNA from 1 species
AUAUUUUCUGUGUGAACCUCG